rnacentral:rRNA from 1 species
AUGAACGCUGGCGGCGUGCUUAACACAUGCAAGUCGAACGAAGCACUGAAGAAUGGAGAUUCGUCAAAGUCUCUUGACUGAGUGGCGAACGGGUGAGUAAUGCGUGAGCAACCUGCCCUCAGAGGGGGACAACAGUUGGAAACGACUGCUAAUACCGCAUGACGUGUUCGGAUGGCAUCAUCUGAAUACCAAAGGAGAAAUCCGCUGAGGGAUGGGCUCACGUCUGAUUAGCUAGAUGGCAGGGUAACGGCCUACCAUGGCGACGAUCAGUAGCUGGUUUGAGAGGAUGAUCAGCCACAAUGGGACUGAGACACGGCCCAUACUCCUACGGGAGGCAGCAGUAGGGAAUUUUGCGCAAUGGGGGAAACCCUGACGCCAGCAACGCCGCGUGAUUGAAUAAGCCCUUCGGGGUGUAAAGAUCUGUCAGUGGGGACGAAACUUGACGGUACCCACAGAGGAAGCAUCGGCUAACUCCGUGCCAGCCGCCGC